rnacentral:rRNA from 1 species
GACGAACCGAGCGAACGUUGUUCGGAAUCACUGGGCUUAAAGGGCGCGUAGGCGGGCCGCCAAGUCUGUGGUGAAAUCCCCCGGCUCAACCGGGGAACGGCCGCGGAUACUGGAGGUCUCGAGGGAGGUAGGGGCAUGCGGAACUACGGGUGGAGCGGUGAAAUGCGUUGAUAUCCGUAGGAACUCCGGUGGCGAAGGCGGCGUGCUGGACCUCUUCUGACGCUGAGGCGCGAAAGCCAGGGGAGCGAACGGG